AUUACUUUGGCAGAUUAGUGCAAUAGAUUUAGAAUCUUUUUAUGUAAUUUUGGUUACAGGUAAUA
rnacentral:tRNA from 1 species